rnacentral:rRNA from 1 species
AUGUCGAUCUUCGAGUACAACGGGAGCGCCGUGGUGGCGAUGGUGGGGAAGAACUGCUUCGCGAUCGCCAGCGACCGGCGCCUGGGCGUGCAGCUGCAGACCGUCGCCACCGACUUCCAGAGGGUGUUCAAGAUCCACGGCAAGCUGUACAUCGGCCUCUCCGGCCUCGCCACGGACGUCCAGACGCUGUACCAGCGGCUGGCGUUUAAGCACAAACUGUACCAGCUUCGGGAGGAGAGGGACAUGAAGCCUGAGACCUUCGCCAGCCUUGUCUCCGCCCUCCUCUACGAGAAAAGGUUUGGGCCAUACUUCUGCCAACCAAUUAUUGCUGGGCUAGGUGAAAAGGAUCAGCCAUUUAUAUGUACCAUGGACUGCAUUGGUGCCAAGGAACUGGCAAAAGAUUUUGUGGUUUCUGGUACUGCUUCGGAAUCACUAUAUGGUGCUUGUGAGUCCAUGUACAAACCAGACAUGGAACCCGAAGAACUAUUUGAGACCAUCUCACAAGCAUUGCUGUCUUCUGUUGAUCGCGAUUGCUUAAGUGGUUGGGGAGGUUAUGUUCUUAUUGUAACGCCCACUGAAGUUCAGGAGAGAGUGCUUAAGGGGAGAAUGGACUGA